CUUUUCUCCUCCAAUCCAAGAAGCCUGGACUGCAGUCACCAUCUCAACACACCAACCAAGAGAAAGGCGGAUGGCUCAAUUCAAUAUGGAAAAUUGCACAAUAAAAGUUCCAGGACAUGAAGGCUGCAUACUGUGAACGUCAACCUUCAGGGCACCGUCCUGCGCAGAAGACUUUCUACCCUAAGAGGGAUGGCUGACCGCGGACACUCACAACCAGCACAGACGCCUCCAACCUCAGACUAGGCCCUUCACAGUUGCUGCACUUACCCACCUUCCCAGAGUUUUUGUGUGGUAAUGACAACUGUAAAUAUAGUAUAAAGUAAUGU